GACGUAGGGCGCGAGCGUUGUCCGGAUUUAUUGGGCGUAAAGAGCUCGUAGGCGGCUUGUUGCGUCGACUGUGAAAACCCGCGGCUUAACCGCGGGCUUGCAGUUGAUACGGGCAGGCUAGAGUUCGGUAGGGGAGACUGGAAUUCCUGGUGUAGCGGUGAAAUGCGCAGAUAUCAGGAGGAACACCGGUGGUGCAAACGGCUUUCUGGACCGUAACUGACGCUGAGACACGAAAGCGUGGGGAGCAAACAGG
rnacentral:rRNA from 1 species